CGCGGCCUAUCAGCUUGUUGGUGGGGUAAUGGCCCACCAAGGCGACGACGGGUAGCCGGCCUGAGAGGGCGACCGGCCACACUGGGACUGAGACACGGCCCAGACUCCUACGGGAGGCAGCAGUGGGGAAUAUUGCGCAAUGGGCGAAAGCCUGACGCAGCGACGCCGCGUGAGGGAUGAAGGCCUUCGGGUUGUAAACCUCUUUCAGCAGGGGCGAAGCGAAAGUGACUGUACCUGCAGAAGAAGCACCGGCUAACUACGUGCCAGCAGCCGCGGUAAUACGUAGGGUGCGAGCGUUGUCCGGAAUUAUUGGGCGUAAAGAGCUCGUAGGCGGUCUGUCACGUCGGAUGUGAAAACUCGGGGCUUAACCCCGAGCCUGCAUUCGAUACGGGCAGACUAGAGUUCGGUAGGGGAGACUGGAAUUCCUGGUGUAGCGGUGAAAUGCGCAGAUAUCAGGAGGAACACCGGUGGCGAAGGCGGGUCUCUGGGCCGAUACUGACGCUGAGGAGCGAAAGCGUGGGGAGCGAACAGGAUUAGAUACCCUGGUAGUCCACGCCGUAAACGGUGGGCGCUAGGUGUGGGGGACUUUCCACGUCCUCUGUGCCGCAGCUAACGCAUUAAGCGCCCCGCCUGGGGA
rnacentral:rRNA from 1 species